GUCAGGAUGGUUUCGAUCUCCUGAUCUCGUGAUCCGCCUGCCUCGGCCUCCCAAAGUGCUGGGAUUACAGGCGUGAGCCACCACGCCCGACCGAUUCAAAUUUAAUUUUAAAAAUUAUUUUAAACUGCUAAAACCCAUAACAGAAUAUGGCAUAAUCAAAUAUAAUAUUAUGCCGUAUUUUCACACGACAGAGAUUUAACCAAUCCAUUAGCAGCCUCUCUGCCCUGGGCCCCUCCGAUUCCCCUUCAUUUCGUGUCAUCGUACUUGCUGCCAUCUGGUUUAGUGCAGAUUUGCAUGGCAACUUAUGUUUGGUCUGUCACCUCCCUCAGAACAUGGUCUCCAGAAGGAAAAGGGCUUUGUUUUUCUCACUGCUGUGUCCCCAGUGCUUAGAGGAGCGUCUGGCACAUAGUGAAAGCUAAAUAAACAUUUGAUGAAUUAACGGAUGGAGGAAUGAACCUGUUAGAUCCAGAUUAACCUGUUCUGUGCAGACUUGGAAUAAAGUCUCUUCUGCUACUUCUGUUUGACUAAGAGUGUGAGAUUGUAAGAUGCAGAAGACACAGAAGAGGACUAUGAGGCUGUAGGAGAAGACUGGGUCACUAUAUGGAAGGAUCCCACGUCUCUGAAUGACCACAUGGAAAGCCGCCUGCUGAAGAAACAAAUGGGCUCUAUGGAUUAGGAUUACAUGGAUCCUUUGACAUGCAUGAUCCAAACUCAAACUGAUGGUCUUGGAGGCCCACACAGCGAGCAAUGCAGGCACUGGGUUAAGACUGGAGAAGCUGCCUUGAAGGGAAAAAUGUGUGCAAAGAAAUGAUGGCCCCUGAGGACAGACUCUGGGCGAUCACAGUCACCUGUGAAGGUUUUAUGAAGAUGAAAUCUGAUGAAAAUGCAAGCCUUCAGCAAACCAUAAAACCCUGUAUCAAGGUUAGAGAGAAGGAAAAGCCUUCCUUACUGAAGCUCUUUUGGGACAACACGGCCAUUCCAACCUCUAGUGACUCUACGUAGGUGUAAACUUUUUUGUGGGCAUUCAAAGAAACACUCAGCAUCCUUCCCAUAAAUAUAUUUAUUAACUUCUACAAGCAAUCUAAUUUCCUUAAUUACAAGCCUAAUUUAAUUUCCCUUUAAGCCUUUUUGUUAAUUUUCUUUGGAGAUUUUUCACGUCUUUCAUUUAUUUAUUUGGAGACAGAGUCUCGCUCUUUUUCAUGUCUUUAAUUAAUUAAUUAAUUUAUUUUGAGACGGAGUCUUCACUGUGUCACUCAGGCUGGAGUGCAGUGGCGCAAUCUCGGCUCACUGCAACCUCUGCCUCCCAGGUCCAAGUGAUUCUUCUGCCUCAGCCUCUCAAGUAGCUGGAAUUACAGGCAUGUGCCACCACGCCCCGCUAAAUUUUGUAUAUUUUUUAGUAGAGACAGGGUUUCACCAUAUUGGCCAGGCUGGUCUCAAACUCCUGAUCUCAGGUGAUCCCCUGCCUCAGCCUCCUGAAGUGUUGGGAUUACAGGCAUGAGCCACCGCGCCCGACCUUCAUGUCUUUUAAAAAAUUUGCCAAAGUUUGAUUGACAAUUACCAAAGUCUGAUGAGCUAUUCUAGGCAAAAUUUUUUGCUAAAGGUCCAUCCAAUUUAGAAACCACAGGAAAGAUUGUUUUACGCCUGGUAUCUUAUAUUCAUUUCAGGAUAUCCGAGUAACAUGGGGUCCCUUUUUACCCCAAAUAUCUCUAAUAAAGCACAUUUCUAUUGUACCUGUGUUCUACCAUGAUCUUAGGUAUCUCCAUUUGUUUUUGUCUCUAGACUGCAAUUCCUACAUCCUAUAUUUGUAUUGUUAAUUUUUCAUCUCUAAGUGUAUCACCAAGAUGAAUGCCAAUAUGCUACCACCUAACUCUGGUUAUAAGUGCUAACCCAGGUUAUCCACCAAUAUAAUAAAAAGUUCAAAGUUUCAUAAUUUAAUAAAGAGAAUGUCCCUUAGAUGUCAGAUCAAAACAUCUUCUAAACUGUAAGCUUACUUAAUGAUCUCUAUAAGGAUAGAAUUCAUCUAUUGCAUCAUCUUAAAUAUUUACUACCCUGCCAAUGCUAAUCCUCCACACCCCAAAACACAGAGCUUUUAGCACUCAAUAUACAGAACAAUGUUUUGUAUACGGUACACAAUGCUCAAUACACAUUUGUUGGAUGAAAUAAUAUUUUAUAUUUUCUAAAUGCUAAACCUAUACCACGUAAGAAUAUAACACACGUUUGCUAGGCUUAAAAUCAUUAAUUAAAAUGCCAUUUUCUACUGAUUUUGGUAAAGGAAAAUGAAAUACUAACCUACAUGUUGAAGUGUUUGCUUUAGAACAACAAUGCAAUUUAGCCCCAUCGAGGCCUGUAGAGGGAGGAGGGUGUACAGUGACUCCAGGGUGAACAGAUUGUGAGCUUUCAAGAAAACAUUGCCAAAGAGGAUCUUGAGGCAAGGGCUGGGUCUUACAACCCUCGAUGAGACCAUCAACAAUCUCCAUUUCCGUUUUCUUGGACAUCAGGAUUCUCUUGCAGGCAUUUUGGCAAGCAUGGUCUUCAGCUCUGUCACAGCAAUAUAAACCUACAUUUUCAGAAUAUAAGUGGCUUAAUUAGCUGUUUUUUUUGUUUGUUUUUAUUGUACUUUAAGUUCUGGGAUACAUGUGCAGAAUGUGCAGAUUUGUUACAUAGGUAUACACAUGCCAUGGUGGUUUGCUGAACCCAUCAACCUGUCAUCUACAUUAGGUAUUUCUCCUAAUGCUAUCCCUCCCCUAGCCC
rnacentral:lncRNA from 1 species